GCAAGUGUUAGAGAUCUUGAGAAGGUGGAAUUGGAUGACGCUCACAUUUAUAUUUUGAAGAAUUGUGAUGAGGUUCAGCCUUUUCUUAGAGAGUAUUCUGAAAUACAAGCAUUGACGAAUCCUGGAAUCUCUGAAGAGGAAUGGUGCAAAAACUUUAAAAGUUGGUUCAAGAUGGAAACUUGCACUUUCUGAUAUUCUUCCUGUUCG